rnacentral:lncRNA from 1 species
UCUUGUUGACAAUGCUUUGACGAAAAUCAGGUAGAAGUUGAGUCCGCCAAUCAGCGGCGUCCAUAACUCCGGCUGCAGCUCCAGCUCGGGCGGUCCCUUCACUCCCAAAAUAUGCAUUUCAUUUCAAAUGCCUCUUCGUUAGACAGCUAAAUCUGACACUUCUUUAAGCAGAUAAAAGUUUUUUUUCCCCUCGGAGCAUAAAAACGAUCAAGGUAGGUACAGAAAUCGGACAGCAACUGAGAAUUUUCAGUGGUGAGAAAGGAACAUUGACGAGAGAGGGGAGAUUGAACACUUUCCUCUACACUUUGUAGCCAAAGAGAGCAGGCUUUUCCAACAUCAUAACUAAGUAAUCAUGUCAGACAAAUGAUUUGUUAAUGUGAAAUACAGCACAGGAACUUUCAUUCCUCACCUGGGUCAUGGGCAUUCUGACCACUACUUGCAGCAUUGCUCAAAUUGGUCAUAGGAUUAUGAGAUUUUGUCUCCAUAGUCAGCAUCUUUAGAGAUAUUUUUUGUAGAUAAUCUGG